rnacentral:rRNA from 1 species
ACCUACGGGGCGCAGCAGUGGGGGAUAUUGCUCAAUGGGGGGAACCCUGAUGCAGCGACGCCGCGUGAGCGAUGGAGUACUUCGGUAUGUAAAGCUCUGUCAGCAGGGAAGAAAAUGACGGUACCUGACCAAGAAGCCCCGGCUAAAUACGUGCCAGCAGCCGCGGUAAUACGUAUGGGGCAAGCGUUAUCCGGAUUUACUGGGUGUAAAGGGAGCGUAGGCGGCAGGGCAAGCCUGAUGUGAAAGCCCGGGGCUCAACCCCGGGACUGCAUUGGGAACUGCCCUGCUGGAGUGCCGGAGGGGCG